ACAAUAUGUCUGUUUUCCAAGAAUAUUUUAUUUUACUAUUGAGCUCUUGUUGUCCUACCCAGAUAUUUGGCGGUGUGGGCUUUGCUUGUCUGCCAUUGGGACUUAUCUUUUCAUUCUUUCGGCGUCCAAAAGUUGUUAUCACUCGUUCACAGUAUAUUAAGGAAGCAACUGAACUAGGUAAGAAGGCAAGAGAAUUGAAGAAAGCAGCUGAUGCGCUUCGUCAGGAGGAAAAGAGUGGCUCAAAGGGAAGGAAGUGGCGUAAAAAUGUAAAGGCAGUAGAAAAGGAGCUGCUUCUUCUGGAAGAAGAUGUAAAGGCUUUAGAAGAGAUGUAUCCUCAAGGUGAAAAGGUGAUGGUUUGAAGUUUUUUUAAUGUGCUGACUGCACAUUUUUUCAAAAGCAGUUUUUGAUAAAUCUGACUUCUUCUUGGCUGCUUGUUUGAUAGGUUGAUUGUUUCAGUGGCAUGGAUUGCACAUAUUGUGAUAUAUCUAUUGAUUAACCCUCCUCUUUCUCCUUUCCUAAAUGGGGUUUUCAUCAAGUUGGAUGACGUCUGGGGUCUUCUGGGAACUGCAGCCUUUGCAUUCUUCUGCUUCUACCUUCUACUUGCCGUGAUUGCUGGGGCAAUGAUGCUUGGCAUGAGAUUAGUUUUCAUAACAAUCCAUCCAGA